UACGUAGGGUGCGAGCGUUGUCCGGAAUUAUUGGGCGUAAAGAGCUCGUAGGCGGUGUGUCGCGUCGACUGUGAAAUCCCGCGGCUCAACUGCGGGUCUGCAGUCGAUACGGGCAGGCUAGAGUUCGGUAGGGGAGACUGGAAUUCUCGGUGUAGCGGUGAAAUGCGUAGAUAUCGAGAGGAACACCUGCGGCGAAGGCGGGUUGCUGGGCUGAUACUGACGCUGAUGCGCGAAAGCCAGGGGAGCGAACGGG
rnacentral:rRNA from 1 species